GGGCAUCACAGACCUGUUAUUGCCUCAAUCUUCCUAAAGUUUGAUACUUUAUGUCCCUCUAAGAAACAGCCGCCAAUGAAAGAUCAUUAACGCUAUUAUUUAGCAGGCUGAGGUCUCGUUCGUUAACGGAAUUAACCAGACAAAUCACUCCACCAACUAAGAACGGCCAUGCACCACCACCCAUAGAAUCAAGAAAGAGCUCUCAAUCUGUCAAUCCUAACUAUGUCUGGACCUGAUAAGUUUUCCCGUGUUGGGUCAAAUUAAGCCGCAGGUUCCACUCCUGGUGGUGCCCUUCCGUCAAUUUCUUUAAGUUUCAGCCUUGCGACCAUACUCCCCCCGGAACCCAAAGACUUUGAUUUCUCAUACAGUGCAGACGAGGACAAAUGUCACCCGCCCAUCCUGAGUCGGCAUAGUUUAUGGUGUAGACUACGACGGUAUCUAAUCAUCUUCGAUCCCCACACUUUCGUUCUUGAUCAAUGAAAACAUCCCUGGUAAAUGCUUUCGCAGUAGUUCGUCUUCCGUUAAUCUAAGAAUUUCACCUCUUACAACUGAAUACGAAUACCCACAACUGUCCCUAUUCAUCAUUACCACGGCGCGCAAACCAACAAAAUAGCACUGUGGUCCUAUCUUAUUAUUCCAUGCUAAUAUGUUCAACGACAUAAGUCUGCUUUGAACACUCCAAUUAACUCACAGUAAAUGAUGGGAAUCCCCAGCCCGACAACUCAAUGCCAGACAGGCUCCUCCCAAGGAUGGCCGGAGAGAGCAAGUACCCACCUUAAAGGUCGGACCGCACUCUCCCACCAGAAAUUCGACUACGAGCUUUUUAACUGCAACAACUAAAAUAUACGCUAUUGGAGCUGGAAUUACCGCGGCUGCUGGCACCAGACUUGCCCUCCAAUUGAUCCUCGAUAAGGGAUUUAAAUUGUUCUCAUUCCAAUUGCCAGACCUCGAAAGAGGCCCGGCAUUGUUAUUUAUUGUCACUACCUCUCUGUGUCAGAAUUGGGUAAUUUACGCGCCUGCUGCCUUCCUUGGAUGUGGUGGCCAUCUCUCAGGCCCCCUCUCCGGAAUCAAACCCUAAUCUCCCGUUACCCGUUAUCGCCAUGGUAGACCAAUACUCUACCAUCAGAGCUGAUAGGGCAGAAACUUGAAUGAUCCAUCGCCGGCAGAGCCAUGCGAUUCGCAAAGUUAUUAUGAAUCACCAGUACGCCACCGAGGUGGGUUGGUUUAUAUCUAAUAAAUACUAUCCUUCCCGAGAGUUGGAUAUUGAUGCACGUAUUAGCUCUAGAAUUACUACAGGUAUCCGAGUAGUAAGGGAUUAUCAAAUAAACUAUAACUGAUAUAAUGAGCCAUUCGCAGCUUCGAAGUAUUAAUACUUAUACUUAGACAUGCAUGGCUUAAUCUUUGAGACGAGCGUAUGACUUCUGGCAGAAUCAACCAGGUUGCUAUCUUCAAAAACUCAUUCUCCGGUUCAAUACUGAAGUCGGUGAACCAGAAAGAGUACCUACAGGAGGUCCUCUCUAAGGGUGAUUUCACACAUACAAAUGUAUCAAGACAUGGGGAAGUGGGUUCCAUCAGAUGAGGAGAUACGCACAGGACACCCACCCGUGAUAGGGCAGGACGACCAGGCAUACCAUCAACCAUCAAUUCUUCAUUGUCCCCUUUGAUCGCAAUUCUAGGCACCAGAUCGUACAGUCUCCUUUCGGGCCAAGUAAUAUGACCUUGGGGGUUUGUACAACUAGGAUUCAGACCUACGAAGGACGGUGGUUGGCUGAUUAGGUAGCGCCUUAGCAGCUCCAUGUAUCAACUACCUCUCCGCCCAAGUUUUUUGUGAACUAUCACUUCGCAACAUGCGUAGCAACAAAUCAACACUCUCCUUAUGGAUCGCACACGAUAGGUAAGUAUCGCGUAGACCCAAGUUUGAGAUACAGCAAAAGCUGUGUAAUACAUCUCUGAUAUGGUGCGGGUACAGCCGCGGCGACACUCGGGUGUGUGUGUCUCCGACGGAGCAUCCUCGCGCCUUGUGUCAAGAAUUUAGUAUGUUUUAUCACCUCGAGAGCAGGGGAGAUGAAUAUCUGGACUUACGAUUACAGGAGCACCGACAUUAUUACAUCGUUCUCGCUGGCCAGUAUGACACUUUUCUGCCGC
rnacentral:rRNA from 1 species